rnacentral:rRNA from 1 species
ACGGGUGAGUAAUAUAUCGGAACGUGCCCAGUCGUGGGGGAUAACUGCUCGAAAGAGCAGCUAAUACCGCAUACGACCUGAGGGUGAAAGCGGGGGAUCGCAAGACCUCGCGCGAUUGGAGCGGCCGAUAUCAGAUUAGGUAGUUGGUGGGGUAAAAGCCUACCAAGCCAACGAUCUGUAGCUGGUCUGAGAGGACGACCAGCCACACUGGGACUGAGACACGGCCCAGACUCCUACGGGAGGCAGCAGUGGGGAAUUUUGGACAAUGGACGCAAGUCUGAUCCAGCCAUGCCGCGUGCGGGAAGAAGGCCUUCGGGUUGUAAACCGCUUUUGUCAGGGAAGAAAAGGGCGUUUCUAAUAAAGAUGCCUCAUGACGGUACCUGAAGAAUAAGCACCGGCUAACUACGUGCCAGCAGCCGCGGUAAUACGUAGGGUGCAAGCGUUAAUCGGAAUUACUGGGCGUAAAGCGUGCGCAGGCGGUUAUGCAAGACAGAUGUGAAAUCCCCGGGCUCAACCUGGGAACUGCAUUUGUGACUGCAUAGCUAGAGUACGGUAGAGGGGGAUGGAAUUCCGCGUGUAGCAGUGAAGUG